AUCUGGGCGGCGAAAUUCAGAAUGACUGGGCCGGCCACGUGCAUGUCCGGUCGUUUGAUAUUUUCGCCGUCGAUCAGACGUCGCGAUCUGUUUGUAGUCGGUCUUGGAGACGCGACCGAGUUUGUUGUGGGCGCGUUUCGGCGCGUUUCACGACAAAGGCGCGAACCUCAGGCUGGCCACGGACAGUAUGCAAUGGUGAACGACGUAUGUCGGUACCGAUCUGCGACGAUUCUUUCGGGCCUCUUCCCGACCCGUCUUGAAACACGGACCAAGGAGUCUAACAUGCGCGCGAGUCACGGGGUAUCGAGCGUACCACGGUGCGCUCGACAUAUCUCGAAACCCGUAUGUUGAAGGCGUAAUGAAAGUGAACAGGGAAGAUGGUGUUCCGAGUAUAUGUUCCGUGUUGUUUCACGGCCGGACGCCCGCAUUCCCGGGGCGUCUUAGUGGAUCGCAGUGGAUGCGGACUGUCGUCUUUCGGGGCGAUAGUCGGUCCACGGUGGUCCGA
rnacentral:rRNA from 1 species